UUUGGAACUCAUUAGAAUAACAAUACAACUCAUUAUCUAUGUUGGUCAACGUUUAUUCAUAAAUCUGGUCGUUCACCGUUAUAUUGUAUUUUUGCCCAACUAACCAAUAGCAAUGUUUUAGGAAAGUUGCCUAUCCGUGACUCGAACAAUAGGGUAAAUUGGAAAUUGCUAUUGGUGGAUUUGGCAAAAAUGCAAUACGCACGUGACGGUGAACAACCACUCGACCAGAUUUAUGAAUAAACGUUGACUUAAGGCUAGUUACCACUCAGGAAAAUUAUCCGUGGAUUGGAACGGACAAGAAAAUUUUUCUUUGUGUUAAAGUCAUCAGUUCCAACCCAGAGC